UCCGCUCCAGUGACCAGCAU
rnacentral:misc_RNA from 1 species